AGAGUUUGAUCCUGGCUCAGGACGAACGCUGGCGGCGCGCCUAAUCCAUGCAAGUCGAGCGACGCAUGCCUUAGCCCGUAAGGGCGGGUGUGACGGAGCGGCGAACGGGUGCGUAACACGUGACCAAUCUGCCCCGAAGACCGGGAUAGCCCGGGGAAACCCGGAUUAAUACCGGAUGAUCUCACCAUCACGCAUGUGGAGGUGAGCAAAGGUUCAGGCGCUUCGGGAUGAGGUCGCGGCCCAUCAGCUUGUUGGUGAGGUAACGGCUCACCAAGGCAAUGACGGGUAGCUGGUCUGAGAGGACGAUCAGCCACACUGGAACUGAGAUACGGUCCAGACUCCUACGGGAGGCAGCAGGAGGGAAUCUUGCGCAAUGGGCGAAAGCCUGACGCAGCGACGCCGCGUGGGGGAUGAAUGCCUUAGGGUUGUAAACCCCUUUCACGAGGGAAGAAACUGACGGUACCUCGAGAAGAAGCCCCGGCCAACUACGUGCCAGCAGCCGCGGUAAUACGUAGGGGGCGAGCGUUGUCCGGAUUUAUUGGGCGUAAAGGGCUCGUAGGCGGCUUGGCAAGUCGGCCGUGAAAACCCAGGGCUCAACUCUGGGACGCCGGUCGAUACUGCCAUGGCUAGGGUCCGGUAGAGGGGAAUGGAAU
rnacentral:rRNA from 1 species